rnacentral:rRNA from 2 species
CCUACGGGAGGCAGCAGUGGGGAAUAUUGCACAAUGGGCGAAAGCCUGAUGCAGCGACGCCGCGUGCGGGAUGACGGCCUUCGGGUUGUAAACCGCUUUCAGUAGGGACGAAGCUUUUGUGACGGUACCUACAGAAGAAGCACCGGCUAACUACGUGCCAGCAGCCGCGGUAAUACGUAGGGUGCGAGCGUUGUCCGGAAUUAUUGGGCGUAAAGAGCUUGUAGGCGGUUUGUCGCGUCUGCUGUGAAAGCCCGGGGCUUAACCCUGGGUCUGCAGUGGGUACGGGCAGGCUAGAGUGUGGUAGGGGAGACUGGAAUUCCUGGUGUAGCGGUGGAAUGCGCAGAUAUCAGGAGGAACACCGAUGGCGAAGGCAGGUCUCUGGGCCACUACUGACGCUGAGAAGCGAAAGCGUGGGGAGCGAACAGGAUUAGAUACCCUGGUAGUCCACGCCGUAAACGUUGGGCGCUAGGUGUGGGUCCCAUUCCACGGGGUCCGUGCCGCAGCUAACGCAUUAAGCGCCCCGCCUGGGGAGUACGGCCGCAAGGCUAAAACUCAAAGGAAUUGACGGGGGCCCGCACAAGCGGCGGAGCAUGCGGAUUAAUUCGAUGCAACGCGAAGAACCUUACCAAGGCUUGACAUACACCGGAAACUUCCAGAGAUGGGAGCCCCCUUUGUGGCUGGUGUACAGGUGGUGCAUGGUUGUCGUCAGCUCGUGUCGUGAGAUGUUGGGUUAAGUCCCGCAACGAGCGCAACCCUCGUUCUAUGUUGCCAGCGGUUCGGCCGGGGACUCAUAGGAGACUGCCGGGGUCAACUCGGAGGAAGGUGGGGAUGACGUCAAAUCAUCAUGCCCCUUACGUCUUGGGCUUCACGCAUGCUACAAUGGCCGGUACAAAGGGCUGCGAUCCCGUGAGGGGGAGCGAAUCCCAGAAAGCCGGUCUCAGUUCGGAUUGGGGUCUGCAACUCGACCCCAUGAAGUCGGAGUCGCUAGUAAUCGCAGAUCAGCAACGCUGCGGUGAAUACGUUCCCGGGCCUUGUACACACCGCCCGUCAAGUCACGAAAGUCGGUAACACCCGAAGCCGGUGGCCCAACCCCUUGUGGGAGGGAGCUGUCGAAGGUGGGACUGGUGAUUGGGACUAAGUCGUAACAAGGUAACC